GACGAAGGUGGCGAGCGUUGUUCGGAAUCACUGGGCAUAAAGCGCACGUAGGCGGUGCCGUAAGUCGGAUGUGAAAUCCCUCGGCCUAACCGAGGAACUGCGUCCGAUACUGCGGUGCUUGAGGAUCAGAGGGGUGCAUGGAAUUUCCGGUGGAGCGGUGAAAUGCGUUGAUAUCGGAAGGAACUCCGGCGGCGAAGGCGGCAUCCUGGACCAACACUGACACUGAGGAGCGAAAGCCAGGGGAGCAAACGGG
rnacentral:rRNA from 1 species